UGAAAUGCAACUAUGAGAUUGGAAGCAGAGGAGAAUUACUCAAAAGUAUUAAAAUUCACAAUAAAACAAAAUUAACGAAUAUUAUUCUAACACCCAGUGGAUGAGGAUAAGAUUAAAGCCCUUCUCUCCCUCUCUCUUUAAUCAUCAAAACUGAUUUUUAAUUAUUUUAUUUUAUUUUCUCUCUCUAACAACCUCCAUAUUUAUCAAAAGAAAUCUACAAAUGGGAUCUCCAUUUCUGUUUCUUCUGUAAUCUGUAAUCUGUAAUCCAUUUCUUGAAGAACCCCAUCUCUCAAAUUCUUUAUCUUUGCCUUCUUN
rnacentral:lncRNA from 1 species